CUCUCUUACGUGAUUGUGUUCUUCCCCAAAAUACACACAUACACACACUGAUGGAACUUCAUUACUCCAUCAACCAUCUUGAUGAAGCACAGGUUAUUACCAAAGAAGACAAGUUCAUCGUUACCAGUCGCCGCCCACAGCCACCGAAUUGCCACCCAUAACCACCAGUAAGGUAGCGUCACUGGAAACCACUCACAACUCCUCCCUUAUGUUCUUGAUUUCUUGUUGAUCACCCUUUUUCACGUCACUAUAAACCAUCCUCUCGCCAUCUCCCCAUCUCUUUCCUUCAUGCCUAUCUCUCUUCCCUAAUCAAACCUAAAUUUCUAUUUUGACCUAGAUUUCUUCACCUUCAUCUAUAAAAUCAAACCCCAAAUUUCUAUUUUGAAAGCUCUUACCUCCCUGCUCUCCCUCUUGUUAAGUUUGUUGGAACAGCAAGAAACGAAGCAGCAGAAGCCGAUGGAGCAACCCCUGCCACCACCGACGCUGCUAUUAUGGAAUCAUCGUGGAACGAAUCAGCAGAAGCCGCCAUAUCUUACUUCAUAUUCUUCAUAUCCUUUAUAUUCGGUUUCAAAUUCUGCAAUAUUGAUAACUAGGGUUUCGUGUUGUUCUAUUUCAGAUUCAGGUUGUUUGGGUUCAGUGUUAGUGAUGGUAGGGGAAAGGACGAAAGGUGCUAGGAAGACCGACGAUUUUUAUGGAGAGUGAAUUUUCCUUCGAGGGGAAAGGGAUGAAGAUGGAAGUGGGUUUUAAUUUGGAGGAAAAAUAGCAGAGACUCUGAUGUGUUUUUGAUGGAGAGCUCGUUGAGGAAGAUGAUGGAAGAGAGGGUAUGUUGGCUGUUAUCGAGAGAGAGAGAGA